UCAGUCGACUCCUACGGGGAGGCAGCAGUGGGGGAAUAUUGCACAAUGGGCGCAAGCCUGAUGCAGCCAUGCCGCGUGUAUGAAGAAGGCCUUCGGGUUGUAAAGUACUUUCAGCAGUGAGGAAGGUGGGGUAUGGUUAAUAGCAUAUUCAUUUGACGUUAGCUGCAGAAGAAGCACCGGCUAACUCCGUGCCAGCAGCCGCGGUAAUACGGAGGGUGCGAGCGUUAAUCGGAAUUACUGGGCGUAAAGCGCAUGCAGGUGGUUUGUUAAGUCAGAUGUGAAAGCCCGGGGCGUCAACCUCGGAAUUGCAUUUGAAACUGGCAAACUAGAGUACUGUAGAGGGGGGUAGGAAUUUCAGGUGUAGCGGUGAAAUGCGUAGAGAUCUGAAGGAAUACCGGUGGCGAAGGCGGCCCCCUGGACAGAUACUGACACUCAGAUGCGAAAGCGUGGGGAGCAAACAGGAUUAGAUACCCUGGUAG
rnacentral:rRNA from 1 species